rnacentral:misc_RNA from 1 species
AACACUGUUAACCUGCGGUACCUGCGGAAGGAUCAUUACCGAGUUUACAACUCCCAAACCCCUGUGAACAUACCAAUUGUUGCCUCGGCGGAUCAGCCCGCUCCCGGUAAAACGGGACGGCCCGCCAGAGGACCCCUAAACUCUGUUUCUAUAUGUAACUUCUGAGUAAAACCAUAAAUAAAUCAAAACUUUUAACAAUGGAUCU